AAACAAUUGCAUGUUGGCAGGAGAGGAAGAGGAGUUAGCAAGUGGUGACAGUCAAAACAGAGAUAUCUAACGUAACAAAGAGGGGCGUAAAGUAAACACAAACACUACGAGUGCUCAAAUGCAUGCCGGGACAGAGGAGAAAAGUGUUAGCUAGUGGAAGUUAAACCAGUGAAUCUGACGUACCAAAGGAAACACAAACACUACAGGAGCGCUAAUGCAUGCCGGGACAGAGGAGAAAAGUGUUAGCUAGUGGAAGUUAAACCAUGAGUGCCUGGAUGAGCGGGACGACUUGCGAUUCGCCGCCAUGUCUGCCUUACUCUGAUUGUCCUGGGGCCGCAACGUUCGCUCCAGCACCGCACUAAUUGCCGCCAUCCACGCCGCCCUCUCCUCGCAGGUGGGCGCGGACAUGACGUAAGU